rnacentral:rRNA from 1 species
UACGGAGGGUGCAAGCAUUGAUCGGAAUUACUGGGCGUAAAGGGCGCGUAGGCGGCGAGAAAAGUCAGGUGUGAAAUUCCGGGGCUCAACCCCGGAGCUGCACUUGAAACUUUCUUGCUAGAGUACAGUUAGGGUAAACGGAAUUCCACGUGUAGCGGUGAAAUGCGUAGAUAUGUGGAAGAACACCAGUGGUGAAGACGGUUUACUGGGCUGUAACUGACGCUGAGGCGCGAAAGCAUGGGGAGCAAACGGG